GAUGAACGCUAGCUACAGGCUUAACACAUGCAAGUCGAGGGACCGGCGCACGGGUGAGUAACACGUAUCCCACCUGCCCUUUACUCGGGCAUAGCCUUUCGAAAGAAAGAUUAAUACCCGAUAUAAUGGAUGGGGAUGCGUUCGAUUAGUUUGUUGGUGAGGUAACGGCCCACCAAACCUUCGAUGGAUAGGGGUUCUGAGAGGAAGGCAGCCUCAAUUGGAACUGAGACACGGUCCAAACCCGUACGGGAGGUAGCAGUGAGGAAUAUUGGUCAAUGGGCGUUAGGCUGAACAAGCCAAGUAGCGUGAAGAAGGAAGGUGUAUGGGUCGUAAACUUAUUUUAAAUAAGAAUAUGUAUUAUAUGAAUAAGGAUCGGCUAACUCCGUGCCAGCAGCCGCGGUAAUUC
rnacentral:rRNA from 1 species